AAUAUAUUUUUGGCUUGCCGCUGAAUUCUCAAUAUAGAAAAGAAAUCAGAAAGGGUCGCUGAAAUUUUUUUCUGAUAAUCCGAAAAGUUGUUGAGGCAAUUAUCUUUUGCUGGAAAAAAGAUUUGCUUACCAUGGACAAUAUAUGUUCAAGAGAGAAAGAUAAAAGACUCAACAAACAGAGAAGAUUAAAUCAUUUACUAGUGAUAACAACAGAAGAUCAAAAAGGCUUGGUGAACAUAUUUUUUUCUCGACAAGAAGAGACAACACAAAAGCAGGUUUGUUAUCGUUGUUCUUAUGCUCUUGGUGUAGUUGCAACUUUCAGUGUGAAAAAGUGUACGCAAUGUGUAAGCAGGUUUGUCAUCGUUGUUCUUAUGCUCUUGUUGUAAUUGCAACUUUCAGUGUGAAAAAGUGUACGCAAUGUGUUCGAUAAAAUGUCUCAGUUAGAUUUUAUGGUAUAUUAUGUAAAAAUGAAAUUCCAAAAAUGUGAGUAUUUAAUAUUCUUAAAGCUCACAGCAUAAAUUUAUUAAAGUUCACAAACAUUUUCUAACAGUGGUGUCUGUGAAGUUACAACUUGAAAUUUUUGGAAUAUCAAAACUAAAUUGAAUUGAAGUUGUCGAAAAUCACUAAUAUCUUAUGCCAUCUGAAAUUAGCCUAGUUUGAAAGUGACUUUAGUGCUCCUACUAUGUAUUUUAGUUAUUUAUUAUACUCUGUUUUUUGUUGUUGUGAACUAAUAAGAGUUUUGUAUAUUAUUUUACAUGUUUUUCUAAGUUGGGUUCACUCCAUGCUUCUUGUUAGCCAAAAAAAUCCCCACCACCUAUAUACAAAACAUGAUGCCUAAGUUUUUUUUUUCUAUUCAUUCCUUGAAAUUAGAAUCACAUAUAGUCUCAUCUAACGUAUUAUUCCUGAUAUAUGUUAUGAAAUAUAUUAUUCAAAUUGGUUAUAUAAUCAAUUUUUCUUAAAUUUAAGAUUGCAUUACUCUUUAGCUUUAAGAUUAUCGAUUAUUUAUCUUAUCUAUACUCUUUGUGUUUUAGAUUUACGGAGAUGGGAUCUAGUGAGUCUCAAAGUGAAUGUAAUUUGUCCAUAAAACUUGGAAUGGAAUUCGAUUCGGAUGAGCAUGCAUAUGAUUACUAUAAUGAAUAUGCUAGUGCAAUUGGUUUUAGCAUAAGGAAAGAAUAUGCUAACAAAAACAAAGCCCAAGGGUAUGUGACUUAAAGAAAGUUCACAUGUUAUAAAGAAGGGUAUAGAAACAAAAUCAAAUGAGAUAUGGUGGUUCAAAAGCCUAGGCAGGAAACUAGAACAGGGUGUUUAGCUCAUAUUAUUAUUAGUCGUCAACCAAAUGAAAUGUUUCGCAUCAUUUCAUUUAUAGAGAAACAUAAUCAUCUUCUUGUUUCUCCUACUUUGGCUCAUUUGUUACCCUCACAAAGAAAGAUAAAAUUUUCUCAAGCAUAUGAAAUUGACUUAUUAGAUAAUUCAGGAAUACGUCCUAAAGCUUCAUUUGAUUAUGCUGCUCGUCAAGCUGGAGGAAAAUCUUUUCUAGGCUACACAAAGAGAGAUCAAAAGAAUUAUCUUUGGGAUAAAAGUAAAGAAAGCUUGAAACAUGGAGUGGCUCGUAGUUUGGUAGACUAUUUUGAGAAAAGAAUACUUGAAGAUCUUGCUUUUCGAUAUUCUUUACAAUUAGAUGAUGAUGGUUUGAUAGCUAAUGUAUUCUGGGCCGAUGUAAAAAUGUUAAGAGAUUAUAAGAUUUAUGGAGAUAUUGUUUCCUUUGAUACAACAUAUAGAACAAAUAAAGAGUAUAGACCUUUUGCAUUGUUUGUUGGUUUGAAUAAUCAUAGGGAAAUGGUUAUAUUUGGUGCAGCGCUUUUAUAUGAAGAAUCAGCUGAAUCAUUUGAAUGGCUUUUUAAUAUUUCUUUAGGAUUAUGUCUGCAGAUAUACCACAGACAUUUUUUACUGAUCAAGAUCCUGUUAUAUCUUCUGCUAUCUCAUUAAUAACGCCACAGACGUAUUAUCGCCUUUGUGUAUGGCACUUGGAAAAGAAUGCGUUUAAACAUCUUAGUCAUAUUUUUAGAAAUAAUGCUUCAUUUCCAAAAGAUUUUAGCAAAUUGCUUUAUGAUUAUGAGUAUGAAGAGGAUUUCUUAAGUGCAUGGCAAGAAAUGCUCGACAAAUAUGAUCUUGUGGAUAAUAGUUGGCUGAAAACCACAUUUUCUAUAAGAGAGAAAUGAUCCAUGACAUAUGGAAGAAAUACAUUCUCAGCAGGUAUGCGAAGCACACAAUUACGUGAGAGUUUUAAUGGAUCUUUAUGGGGAUAUUUGAAAUCAGAUUUGGAUAUUGUUCAAUUUUUAAGCAUUUUGAAAGAUCAGUCGAUGAUAAGCGCACCAAUGAGAAUAAGUCUAAUUUUGACAUGACUCAAAGAAUACCUAUUUUGAAGGUUAAACUUCCUUUAUUGAUUCAUGCUAGGGAAGGAUACACCUCAACGAUAUUUCACAUGUUCCAAAGUGAAUGGGAAAGGUCAUUAAUGUUUUAUGACUCCUAUAAUGAAGGAGAUUUAUGUACCUGUAAUGUUAGCGCGCUUGGAAGUGUUAAGAAGCAUGUUUUGACUAUUAAGAGAUCAAUAACUCAAGUUUCUUGCAGCUGUAAAUUGUUUGAAUUUUCAGGUAUACUGUGUAGGCUUUAAAGAUCCUGCACGCAUUGAAUAUAAAGGAUAAGAUUCCUAUCCAAUAUAUACUGAAGAGGUGGACAAAAGAUGUUACAAAUAUAAACGAGAUGGAUGCCAUUCUAGAAGAAAAAACAUUGAUCCAAAAGUUGAUGUUACUGCAAGGUAUAGACAUUUAUGUCAUACUUUUGUCCAAAUUUCAAGUGAAGCUUCAGAAUCCAAAGAAGGGUAUGAAGUGGUUGUAAAAGGUGCAAAUGAGAUGAUUGCGAUGCUAAGAGAUAUAAAGAAGAGAAAGGAAUCACCUGAUAAGUCAGCUCUAAGCAAAUCAACUCAAAAUGAGCCCAAUGAAAUUGUAUUUAUUGACAAUACAAAUUUUACAAAGGUGACUGGAUUAAAAAGAAAGGAACCAACUCGUCGUUCUAAUACUUGGCCAAAGAGUUUCACAGAAAAGUAUGGACAAAAAAAGGGAAACUUCAUUGCCAAAAUCUCUUCAAUGCCAAACUGAUCAGCAGUUAGAUCACCUUCCACAUUUUCAAGUCCCUUAUAUACCUUCAUUAGAUCCAUCAAACGCUAUGGAUGUCACAGAAGGAAGCUUUCGUCCAUUGUGUCCUCAGUUGUCUCAAGGAUAUCCAUCUAAUGAAAGUUUGACUCAACUAGUGAACAAAACUUUUAAUACUUUGCAUAUAUAUGUAUAUUUCUAAUAACUGAUGUUAUUGACCACAUAAUAUAUUCAUUCCUGGAUGUUUCAUUUCCUGAUUUUAA